GAUUUUACCUGACAGGGAAGAUACCAUGAUCAUGAAGGUGGUUUACUCAGGGCAAGGCUGAUCCAAAUCACUGGGGAUAUGCUGACCCCUGCAAUUUCUCCACAUGGGAGAAACUCAAAUGGAUAAUUUGUGUUGGUGAGGGGUUGCAUUUGCACUCCCCCC
rnacentral:snRNA from 1 species